CAAGUUGUCAGUGAAUACAAAUACUUUGGAGUGAUCUUCACCUGCAAUUUAAAAAUGGAAAAGCACUUGAAAGAUAAGCUUGCAAAGGCAAAAACUGCAAUAAACUCAACUUGGAAGAUGUGUUUCUCCAACAAAUAUCUAAACCAUAGCACGAAAUUUAAGUUUUUGAAUCUGUUGCAGAAUCAAUCAUGCUUUACUCAGCGAAAGUAUGGGGAGGUUAGCAAUAUAAACUUUAACGCUUCUACUUAAAACGCACGUGCAGACUACCAUCGAACAUACCAAACUAUUCGUUGAACCUGGAACUGGAUUAUCACCGUUAUACAUAAAAACGCUAAAAUUGCAAUCUGAUUACAUUAUAAAGGUCUUAAACAUGGAUGAAGGGCGACUUCCGAAAAAAAACAUGAUGAUAACAGUGAGCAGAAAAGUCGGAUGGUAUGAUGAGUGGCUGGAUCAUGCACGUGUGUGACCAAGCGACUCCCAAUAACUGGAAACAAAGACUCUACAAGAUAAUUUCCAACUCAGAUAUAAACUGUAGGAAUGAGCAUGAAAGUGAAGCAAGAGGAUCUCUAUACAGAUCGGUGUACAGUACAGAACUAUAACCUUCAACAUGCAAACUUCUUCAGAAACGAACUAGGCGUAGAAUCCAUCUCAAUGAUGCUAAGGACGAGGGUAGAACUUCUUCCGCUUAGUUAUAGGCCACACCGAAAUGACCUUCCAAUAUUGUGCAAUAUAUGUAACACAGCAGAAAGAUAAGCCAUAUUUCAUUUUAAGGGUAGAUGUCCGACUACAACCAACCAACCGACUCUUCGUGAAACAAGGCGACAUUUCUUCGGUAAUUGUCAGAAAAGCUAUUACUUUUUUUUAAACAUUUCUAAAUGCUAGCUUCUAAUAUUUCAAGUAAAUCAUUGUUGAAUCAUUUUAUUUUUCUUAAAAAAUAUUUCUUAUUUAAAUUUAAAAAUUGUUUUUUAAUUUCAUAAACAAUAUACCAAUCGGCAGAUGGUAAAGCCACGUCAUCAAGAUUUUGUAACUGUUUAUUGUUAUAUUAUUAUGUUGUUAAUAAAUAAAAUCAUUUUUAUCUAAAAAAAAUCACAUAUUUUUCCUCUUACAAUUCAAUUUUAUUAAAAUUGAUUAAAUUGAUCUUAAGUUUAUCCCCUAUUUUAACCUAAGCAUGAUGUAGAAGAACAAAAACGAUCUUAAGUCAAGCCAUCCGAUUCUAAAAGUUUAAUAAGAGAAGACAAAUCCUCAGUAAAUAAUUUGGUUUAGCCAAAAUAGCAUUUCACAACCUUUAAAAAAUCUAACUUUCCAAACUUUCUUUACAAAAAAAAAUCGAAUUUAAAUUCCUGCAAUGGGGAUUAAGUAGUCUACGAAUUUUGAAAUUGUUUUAAGAUCAACUUUUCAACUAGCUAAUUCCUAAAAUUUAAAAUUGUAACAUUAGUAAAGCUAAAGUUAAACACUCUUAAUUCAGAUACUACCCUAUAAAAAUGGUAAUAAAUACAAAUUAACAUUACCAUCCUCAUUCGAUUCGAAAAUAUUGUUAAGUUAGUUUAUCUCUCCUAUUUCCGUUCCUAAACUAACCAAUUAUUUCCAGAUUUAGUAGCUUCAUUGUUGCCCCAAAGUAUAAUAGCUGAUGAUAUUUUCUCCAUGUGACCAACCAUACAACAGCAGCUCUACAGCCCAUCAGAGGUGUUGUAGACUUAAUUAACAUUUCUUGUGGCUUCAACAGCUCAGCAGUGAAUGUAUAAGGUUUUGUAAGAUUGAAUUGGUUUAAGCCGGCUUUUUGCGAAUUUUACAGGUAACUUUUUCUUUUCUUUUUUUUUUGUUAAACAAUUUUGGCCUUUUUUUGUAUAGUAUAGUGCGAAAAAGAGCUUUAAUAAUUGUGCGUUAUAGUGUUUGAGUUGUGAGUGUUGAGUUGAUGUACUCAGAGAAAAGAGGUUUCGCAUAUUCGCAGAAUAACCGAAUAACCAGUGUAAACUGUGUGAAGUGUUAAGCUGCGGCACCAUAGAAAAAUAAGAUCUUUUUGCAACAAAUUUUAUAUAUUCGGGUUAAAAAGGUAAUUCAGUUGGAAGAUACUAGUGGACGCGUUAACAUCAACAUCAGCUAAAAUUUAAAAAAUUGUGAGCAUAGUGAAAAAGAGAUGUUUAAAGAUACUAAUCUUAUACUCAAAAUUUUACAAAAUGAAAUCGUUUGAGAAACAGGUUUAAAUGAAAAUUUUUGCAAUUUUAAUAAACUUAAACCAAAAAGUGUUUUAGUUUUUAGAAUUUCUAAACAAUGACAAAUAUCUGUAAAAUCAAAAUUCAACUUUCAAUAUUUGUGAAAUGUGAUACAAAAUACAAGAAACUGAUGAAAAAUGUUGGCUUUUGAUCAAAAAAUAAAUAAAGGAUAAGAGAAGGAUGUGAGUCAAUAAACCAAAAACUGGACACAACAUCAAAAAAUCUGAUGGAUUUCCUAUUUUACCAUAAUGGAAUAAGUUGAAGCUUUCAACCACAGUGGUGUCCAUUUUUUUUGGUUUGGUAUAAAUAAUGUUUUUGCAGAUUGUCAAAUUAAAACAUAUUUGUGCAAAAUUUUAGACAACUCUUGGGCAAUUUGUAUUUUUGGUAAGUAGCAAAAUAUAAAUGUCCUCUCAUUAAAAACGGUUCAUCUGAACACUCCUAAGCAGUGACAGUCGGUGGAAAAGAACAUGGCAAACAAACCUAUGAUUGGGAAACGCCAUAAUUAAUGACAUUACUUAGGCUUAUUAAAAUUUUCAUUGUAAAAUUGUGUGCUUUUAUUUCUAGUCAGAAAAAUAAAGAAGAAUAAAAAAAAAUUAA